AUUGGAAGUAAAAGUCGUAACAAGGUUUCCGUAGGUGAACCUGCGGAAGGAUCAUUCACAAUGAGUGUUUUAUGGCACUCUUUAAAAAUCCAUAUCCACCUUGUGUGCAAUGUUUGUUGGGAGAGAGGCAACUCUUUCCCUUCACAAAUAUCAACCUAUAUCUUUAACAACAUUCGUCUGAUAACAUAUUAUGAAUAUACUUAAUUCAAAAUAUAACUUUCAACAACGGAUCUCUUGGCUCUCGCAUCGAUGAAGAACGCAGCGAAAUGCGAUACGUAAUGUGAAUUGCAGAAUUCAGUGAAUCAUCGAAUCUUUGAACGCAUAUUGCGCUCUUUGGUAUUCCGAAGAGCAUGCUUGUUUGAGUAUCAGUAAACACCUCAACCUCCUCUUGUUUUUUCAAAAGGAGGGUGGACUUGAGCUAUCCCAACAACCUUCACCGGUAGGCGGGCGGCUCGAAAUGCAGGUGCAGCUGGACUUUUAUCUGAGCUAAAAGCAUAUCUAUUUAGUCCUCGUCAAACAGGAUUAUUACUAUUGCUGCAGCUAACAUAAAGGAUAAUUGUCCUCAUUGCUGACUGAUGCAGGAUUUUACGACACUUUAUGUGUUGUCAACUCGAUCUCAAAUCAAG
rnacentral:rRNA from 1 species